ensembl:snoRNA
AGCACCUGCAUGCGUUUUUGUUCAGCUGCUGGACAAAGGCAGAUUAGACAGGUGCAAAAAUAAAUCCUCUUUUGCAACCCAGAACUCGUUGUCAGUAUGAGUUUUGAUACAUGUAAGAAGGAAUAUA